GCUAACGAGCCCCCCUCAGGUUAGCUCAGCCUGUGAGAAGGCAGAACUCCUCCGAGUCCAACCGGAAAUGCAUCAUUUAGAGUGAAAGGACAGUUAGAUGCUGUGGGAGUUUCAGGGUAGCCAAACUCCUGACCAAGAGCAGCUGAUUUAACUCAUGGACACAAAUUUCCAAGCUUCCGAGCUUCAAUAGUUUUAUGGAAAGAAAUGAACGUGGGAAAACUACAAAUAAGUCCUAUUUUCCGAGUCCUUACUUCACUGAACACUUCAAUCCUGUAAGCCAGGUUCUCCAACCACUUCACAAAUGAACUCAUUAAAGGUGGAGAGAGAUGAAA
rnacentral:lncRNA from 1 species